UCUUGUACCUGCCAGUCCUUCCAGAGAACAGUAACUUUGUCCUGAGGAGGAAGAGAUCAGCCUGGGAGGGACUUGUGCUUAUGACCCCCAGUGCAGUCUGGGUGCCAAACCCUUCCUCCUGACACCCGGGAAAAGGUCUGCAAAGAUGGUAAAGGCCCCUUCUGUCUGCACCUAGUCCUCCCCAGCACGCGCUCAGGGGUCAUCCUGGGCUUUCUAACAGCAUGGCAGCUGAGUUCCAGAAGGCAGCAUUUCCAGAAGUAGAGCCCUGCUGUGCAAGCACUUAUCUAGUCGCUUCAUGUUUGUUAAUAUCUCACAAGGGAGUCACACGACCAAACCCAGAUCAAUGAGAGAGAGGACUUCAAAAGGUGUUCACAUUUACCAGCAUACUCUAGAGUAUAUUGGUAGACACUCCAUAAAUACUUGUUGACUGACAAAUGAUGAAUGUCGUUAACUGCAAGAAAAGCUCUGUCGGAUGGGCCUUGCAGGGAGAGCUGAAGGUUGCUCCAUGAAGAAAGUAGAAGCCUGAAAUUCGGAAAGGUGAUUGAACACCAAAUACAGAUGAGUGGAUUUUAGUGAAUUUAACUAUUUCCUUCCCUAGUGAUUUCAAAACCAGAAAAAUUGAAGCAAGAAAUAUCAGAAGAAACCAAAAUAUGCUCAGCUCAGCACUGUGUUCAACCUCAAGGAGGAGAUGAAAGAAAAGAGGGCCUUUGAGGUCACUGGAGAAACAAGAAAUAAAUACAGGAAAACUCCAAUAUCACAAAGUCUAAUAAUGUUUGUUUCAUUUUAUUUUAUUUACUUUUGGCUGCAUUGGAUCUCUGUUGCCGUGCACAGGCUUUCUCUAGCCGUCUCGACCGAGGGCUCCUCUCUAGCUGCAGUACGUGGGCUUCCUACCACAGUGGCUUCUCUUG
ensembl:lncRNA